CUUCGGCCUCGAGUAAAGUGGCGGACGGGUGAGUAACACGUGGGUAAUCUGCCUUUCAGUGGGGGAUAACUGUCCGAAAGGAUAGCUAAUACCGCAUACGUCGCCUGGGGUUUCGAUCCUGGGUGGGAAAGCCGACCUCUCCAUGGAAGUUGGCGCUGAAAGAGGAGCCCGCGGCCCAUCAGCUAGUUGGUAGGGUAAUGGCCUACCAAGGCUUAGACGGGUAGCUGGUCUGAGAGGAUGAUCAGCCACACUGGGACUGAGACACGGCCCAGACUCCUACGGGAGGCAGCAGUGGGGAAUAUUGGGCAAUGGGCGCAAGCCUGACCCAGCCACGCCGCGUGAGUGAUGAAGGCCUUCGGG
rnacentral:rRNA from 1 species